AGUGAACGCUGGCGGCGUGCUUAACACAUGCAAGUCGAACGGGAACGGAAUAUAGCUUGCUAUAUUUGUCAGCUAAGUGGCGCACGGGUGAGUAAUGUAUAGAUAACCUGCCCUUAAGAAAGGAGUAACAGUUGGAAACGACUGCUAAUGCCCUAUAUGCCUUUAAUACAUAAGUAUGCAAGGGAAACGCUUUAGUGCUUAAGGAUUGGUCUGUAUGGUAUCAGCUUGUUGGUGAGGUAAGGGCUCACCAAGGCUAUGACGCCUAACUGGUUUGAGAGGAUGAGCAGUCACACUGGAGCUCAGACACGGUUCAGACUCCUACGGGAGGCAGCAGUGUGGAAUAUUGCACAAUGGACGAAAGUCUGAUGCAGCAACGCCGCGUGGAGGAUGACACAUUUCGGUGCGUAAACUCCUUUUAUAUAGGAAGAUAAUGACGGUACUAUAUGAAUAAGCACCGGCUAACUCCGUGCCAGCCGCCGCGGUAA
rnacentral:rRNA from 1 species